rnacentral:rRNA from 1 species
CCUACGGGUGGCAGCAGUGAGGAAUAUUGGUCAAUGGACGAGAGUCUGAACCAGCCAAGUAGCGUGAAGGAUGACUGCCCUAUGGGUUGUAAACUUCUUUUAUAUGGGAAUAAAAUGUUCCACGUGUGGGAUUUUGUAUGUACCAUAUGAAUAAGGAUCGGCUAACUCCGGUCCAGCAGCCGCGGUAAUACGGAGGAUCCGAGCGUUAUCCGGAUUUAUUGGGGUUAAAGGGAGCGUAGGUGGAUUGUUAAGUCAGUUGUGAAAGUUUGCGGCUCAACCGUAAAAUUGCAGUUGAAACUGGCAGUCUUGAGUACAGUAGAGGUGGGCGGAAUUCGUGGUGUAGCGGUGAAAUGCUUAGAUAUCACGAAGAACUCCGAUUGCGAAGGCAGUUCACUGGACUGCAACUGACACUGAGGCUCGAAAGUGUGGGUAUCAAACAGGAUUAGAUACCCUUGUAGUC